rnacentral:rRNA from 1 species
AUUGAACGCUGGCGGCAUGCCUUACACAUGCAAGUCGAACGGUAGCGGGCCUUCGGGUGCCGACGAGUGGCGAACGGGUGAGUAAUGUAUCGGAACGUACCUUUCAGUGGGGGAUAACGUAGCGAAAGUUGCGCUAAUACCGCAUAUUCUGUGAGCAGGAAAGCAGGGGAUCGCAAGACCUUGCGCUGAUUGAGCGGCCGAUAUCAGAUUAGCUAGUUGGUGAGGUUAAGGCUCACCAAGGCGACGAUCUGUAGCGGGUCUGAGAGGAUGAUCCGCCACACUGGAACUGAGACACGGGCCAGACUCCUACGGGAGGCAGCAGUGGGGAAUUUUGGACAAUGGGGGCAACCCUGAUCCAGCCAUGCCGCGUGAGUGAAGAAGGCCUUCGGGUUGUAAAGCUCUUUCGGCCGGGAAGAAAUCGUAUCAGCUAAUACCUGGUGCGGAUGACGGUACCGGCAUAAGAAGCACCGGCUAACUACGUGCCAGCCGCCGCAGUAAAAC